CUUAAUAUGGUGCUUUAUGGUAUUCUUGAUUUAAAUUUAAAUCAAGAAUUUAAAAGGGAAGUUUGGUGAAAAUCCAACACGGUCCCGCCACUGUGAUGGGGAGUAAAUCUAUAUGUGCCACUGUUUCAAAAUAGAAAUGGGAAGGUAUAGGUUUACUAUGACCCUAAGUCAGGAGACCUGCCAUAAAGAACAACACCGA
rnacentral:ncRNA from 1 species